CAGAGGGGGCAAGCGUUGUUCGGAGUUACUGGGCGUAAAGGGCGCGUAGGCGGCCUGCUAAGUCGAACGUGAAAUCCCUGGGCUCAACCCAGGAAUUGCGUCCGGUACUGGUUGGCUUGAAUUCGGGAGAGGGAUGUGGAAUUCCAGGUGUAGCGGUGAAAUGCGUAGAUAUCUGGAGGAACACCGGUGGCGAAGGCGGCAUCCUGGACCGAUAUUGACGCUGAUGCGCGAAAGCCAGGGGAGCAGACGGGAUUAGAUACCCCGGUAGUCCUGGCCCUAAACGAUGAAUGCUUGGUGUGGCGGGUAUCGAUCCCUGCCGUGCCGAAGCUAACGCAUUAAGCAUUCCGCCUGGGGAGUACGGUCGCAAGGCUG
rnacentral:rRNA from 1 species